AGAAGAAAGCGUGCAGGUGCUGUGAGGAAGUUUAAGCAGCGAGGUGGCUUGCACAGGAAGCAGAUAUUCCAAUAAACACACACGGUACAAGCCUGUUGCCCACUCAUUCAUCCAACACACAAUUACUGAAUGCACAUCGGAGCCCCUGGUGAGCAAAACUUUGGUUUCUUCCCCCUGGAGCCCACAGUCCCGUGAGGGAGACAGACAUAAAUUAUAUAAUCGCCCGAUAAUUGCCGCACAAAUAAAGGCAAAAGCACAGAUAUUGUGGGUAUGCUGGAAAGUAUGGCGGGACACAAGGAGCGAGAAUAAGAGAACCGAAUUGAGGGAGGGAGGGGCCAAAGAAGCCUCUCCGAAAAAGCGAUAGUCAGCCGUCCUUUGAGGUUGGAAGUCCUUAAAUCCAGGCAGCAGGAAAGCUGGAGGAGUCCCCUAGAGACGGCGAGCCUUUCUCCCCCAAGUGCCAAGACUCUGCCUUGCCUUCCAGCGUACCCAGGUCGGAGAGGCAGCAGACAACACUGACACUUGCAAUCCCAUUGCUGGACUCACCUGAGGGCCUCAGGUGCACGGGCGAGUGGUAGCGGGAGCAGAAAGGAAGGCGGAGUGGAGGGACAGGCGGCAGGUGGUGCCCCGGGCCCGCGCCGGGUUGGCUCGCGCGGAGCCAGCGCCGCCGCCGCAGUAUCUGGGCUCAUCUCCCUGCCCCGGAGCCGGGCAACUAUUAAUCUUGGUUGACGGUUUCUAAUGUCCUGGUUGGGAGGUGGGGAGAGCGGCCUAGUCGGCCCUAAAGGUAGAAGUGGUUAAUGGGCCUCUUCAUCACCGCCAGGAGCCGGUCCCUCGCGGAGCACGACGGCCGCUGCAGCAGGGGAGAAAUGUUAGGAGCAAGUGAGAAUUUCUGGACCUCCGGAUCCCAGGGAUUAAGAGCGUCCAGCCUUUUUACAACCGCUCCCCAUUCAGCUCUGUGACUCAGUUUCCCCUCUGAGGCGGGUUUUUAAGCUUCCCAGCCCUCCAACUCCCAAGCCCAUUCCCUCCUCCAGCAUAAGCUAGCGAGACCUGUCCCUAACCCCGCCCUCUCAGUCCAGUCACCACCACCACCCUCACCCCCAUCCAGGCCCUAACUGCUGGGAGAGAGGAGGUGGUCCCACCCAGCCGCGUUGGCGCCGCUCCAUGGCCCUCCCCUGGGACCUGCUGCCUCCCGGAGCCCGGGCUUCUCUGCCGGCUUGGCUGCCUCUCGCUCGCUGUCAGUUUCUCUCCCGCCCCCUCCCGCCUCCAGCUGCAUCA